rnacentral:rRNA from 1 species
CAGCAGCCACGGUAAAACGUAGGUCCCGAGCGUUGUCCGGAUUUAUUGGGCGUAAAGGGAGCGCAGGCGGUUUAGUAAGUCUGGAGUUAAAGGCAUUGGCUCAACCAAUGUAUGCUUUGGAAACUGUUUGACUUGAGUGCAGAAGGGGAGAGUGGAAUUCCAUGUGUAGCGGUGAAAUGCGUAGAUAUAUGGAGGAACACCGGUGGCGAAAGCGGCUCUCUGGCUUGUAACUGACGCUGAGGCUCGAAAGCGUGGGGAGCAAACAGGAUUAGAUACCCGAGUAGUCCCUGUCUCUUAUACA